AACGUAGGUGGCGAGCGUUAUCCGGAUUCAUUGGGCGUAAAGAGCUUGUAGGUGGCCAUGUAAGUUGGACGUGAAAGUCCCGGGCUUAACUCGGGGAGGCCGUUCAAUACUGCGUGGCUGGAGGGCGUCAGAGGGGAGUGGAAUUCCUGGUGUAGCAGUGAAAUGCGUAGAUAUCAGGAGGAACACCCGUGGCGAAAGCGGCUCCCUGGGGCGCCCCUGACACUGAGAAGCGAAAGCUAGGGGAG
rnacentral:rRNA from 1 species